AACGAACGCUGGCGGCAGGCCUAACACAUGCAAGUCGAGCGCCCCGCCAGGGGAGCGGCGGACGGGUGAGUAACGCGUGGGAAUAUGCCCUUUGCUACGGAAUAGUCUCGGGAAACUGGGGGUAAUACCGUAUACGCCCUUUGGGGGAAAGAUUUAUCGGCGUAGGAUUAGCCCGCGUUGGAUUAGGUGGUUGGUGGGGUAAUGGCCUCCCAAGCCGACGAUCCAUAGCUGGUUUGAGAGGAUGAUCCGCCACGCUGGGACUGAGACACGGCCCAGACUCCUACGGGAGGCAGCAGUGGGGAAUCUUAGACAAUGGGGGCAACCCUGAUCUAGCCAUGCCGCGUGAGUGAUGGAGGCCUUAGGGUUGUAAAGCUCUUUCAGCUGGGAAGAUAAUGACGGUACCAGCAGAAGAAGCCCCGGCUAACUCCGUG
rnacentral:rRNA from 1 species